AGAGUUUGAUCCUGGCUCAGAGUGAACGCUGGCGGCGUGCCUAAUACAUGCAAGUCGAACGAUGAAGCUUCUAGCUUGCUAGAAUGCUGAUUAGUGGCGCACGGGUGAGUAACGCAUAGGUCAUGUGCCUCUUAGUUUGGGAUAGCCAUUGGAAACGAUGAUUAAUACCAGAUACUCCCUACGGGGGAAAGAUUUAUCGCUAAGAGAUCAGCCUAUGUCCUAUCAGCUUGUUGGUAAGGUAAUGGCUUACCAAGGCUAUGACGGGUAUCCGGCCUGAGAGGGUGAACGGACACACUGGAACUGAGACACGGUCCAGACUCCUACGGGAGGCAGCAGUAGGGAAUAUUGCUCAAUGGGGGAAACCCUGAAGCAGCAACGCCGCGUGGAGGAUGAAGGUUUUAGGAUUGUAAACUCCUUUUGUUAGAGAAGAUAAUGACGGUAUCUAACGAAUAAGCACCGGCUAACUCCGUGCCAGCAGCCGCGGUAAUACGGAGGGUGCAAGCGUUACUCGGAAUCACUGGGCGUAAAGAGCGCGUAGGCGGGAUAGUCAGUCAGGUGUGAAAUCCUAUGGCUUAACCAUAGAACUGCAUUUGAAACUACUAUUCUAGAGUGUGGGAGAGGUAGGUGGAAUUCUUGGUGUAGGGGUAAAAUCCGUAGAGAUCAAGAGGAAUACUCAUUGCGAAGGCGACCUGCUGGAACAUUACUGACGCUGAUUGCGCGAAAGCGUGGGGAGCAAACAGGAUUAGAUACCCUGGUAGUCCACGCCCUAAACGAUGGAUGCUAGUUGUUGGAGGGCUUAGUCUCUCCAGUAAUGCAGCUAACGCAUUAAGCAUCCCGCCUGGGGAGUACGGUCGCAAGAUUAAAACUCAAAGGAAUAGACGGGGACCCGCACAAGCGGUGGAGCAUGUGGUUUAAUUCGAAGAUACACGAAGAACCUUACCUAGGCUUGACAUUGAGAGAAUCCGCUAGAAAUAGUGGAGUGUCUAGCUUGCUAGACCUUGAAAACAGGUGCUGCACGGCUGUCGUCAGCUCGUGUCGUGAGAUGUUGGGUUAAGUCCCGCAACGAGCGCAACCCCCUUUCUUAGUUGCUAACAGGUUAUGCUGAGAACUCUAAGGAUACUGCCUCCGUAAGGAGGAGGAAGGUGGGGACGACGUCAAGUCAUCAUGGCCCUUACGCCUAGGGCUACACACGUGCUACAAUGGGGUGCACAAAGAGAAGCAAUACUGCGAAGUGGAGCCAAUCUUCAAAACACCUCUCAGUUCGGAUUGUAGGCUGCAACUCGCCUGCAUGAAGCUGGAAUCGCUAGUAAUCGCAAAUCAGCCAUGUUGCGGUGAAUACGUUCCCGGGUCUUGUACUCACCGCCCGUCACACCAUGGGAGUUGUGUUUGCCUUAAGUCAGGAUGCUAAAUUGGCUACUGCCCACGGCACACACAGCGACUGGGGUGAAGUCGUAACAAGGUAACCGUAGGUGAACCUGCGGUUG
rnacentral:rRNA from 2 species